rnacentral:rRNA from 1 species
UACAUGGGGUGCAAACGUUGCUCGGAAUUAUUGGGCGUAAAGCGCGCGUAGGCGGUUACUCAAGUCGGAUGUGAAAGCCCUCGGCUUAACUGAGGAAGUGCACCCGAAACUGAGUAGCUAGAGUACUAAAGAGGGUCGCGGAAUUCCCGGUGUAGAGGUGAAAUUCGUAGAUAUCGGGAGGAACACCGGUGGCGAAGGCGGCUCACUGGCUCGUAACUGACGCUCAUGCACGACAGCGUGGGGGAUCAAACAGG